rnacentral:rRNA from 1 species
CGGAAUGCUUAACACAUGCAAGUCGCACGGGCCUUUCGGGGUCAGUGGCGGACGGGUGAGUAACGCGUAGGAAUGUGUCCAGGGAUGGGGGAUAACGCUGGGAAACUGGCGCUAAUACCGCAUAUGGCCUGAGGGUCAAAGCCGCGAGGCGUCUUUGGAGCAGCCUGCGUCCGAUUAGGUAGUUGGUGGGGUAAAGGCCUACCAAGCCUGCGAUCGGUAGCUGGUCUGAGAGGAUGAUCAGCCACACUGGAACUGAGACACGGUCCAGACUCCUACGGGAGGCAGCAGUGGGGAAUAUUGGACAAUGGGCGGAAGCCUGAUCCAGCAAUUCCGCGUGGGUGAAGAAGGUCUUCGGAUUGUAAAGCCCUUUCGGCGGGGACGAUGAUGACGGUACCCGCAGAAGAAGCCCCGGCUAACUUCGUGCCAGCAGCCGCGGUAAUACGAAGGGGGCUAGCGUUGCUCGGAAUGACUGGGCGUAAAGGGCGCGUAGGCGGCACACACAGUCAGACGUGAAAUUCCUGGGCUUAACCUGGGGGCUGCGUUUGAUACAUGUGAGCUAGAGGAUGGAAGAGGCUCGUGGAAUUCCCAGUGUAGAGGUGAAAUUCGUAGAUAUUGGGAAGAACACCGGUGGCGAAGGCGGCGAGCUGGUCCAUUACUGACGCUGA